UACGUAGGGGGCAAGCGUUGUCCGGAUUUAUUGGGCGUAAAGAGCGUGUAGGCGGCCAGGUAGGUCUGACGUGAAAUCUCGAGGCUCAACCUCGAACGGUCGUUGGAUACCGCCUGGCUAGAGUCCGGAAGAGGAGAGUGGAAUUCCUGGUGUAGCGGUGAAAUGCGCAGAUAUCAGGAAGAACACCUAUGGCGAAGGCAGCUCUCUGGGACGGUACUGACGCUGAGACGCGAAAGCGUGGGGAGCAAACAGGAUUAGAUACCCUGGUAGUCCACGCCGUAAACGAUGGGCGCUAGGUGUGGGUGGUGUCGACUCCACCCGUGCCGAAGCUAACGCAUUAAGCGCCCCGCCUGGGGAGUACGGCCGCAAGGCUA
rnacentral:rRNA from 1 species